rnacentral:sRNA from 1 species
UCUAAUAUGACUAGAUGUCAUGUGUAUGACUCAGUAUAAAAACUAGAACCGCAACAGAUCUUAAAAGCAUAAGUAUUGUAUCAUUGUUAGAAGAUACAAUGACGAAGACUCAUAUGGACUUCGGCUACACCAUCAAAACUUUGAGAAGCAAGAAGCAACUUGGUUAGUGUUUUGGAGUCGAAUAUGACUUGAUGUCAUGUGUAUGAGUGAGUAUAAAAACUAGAACCGCAACGGAUUUUAAAAGCCUAAAUAUUGUAUCCUUGUUAGAAGAUACAUAGACAAAGACUCAUACGGUAUUCGGCUAAACCAUCAAAGCUUUUAGAAGCAAGAAGAAGCUUGGUUAGUGUUUUGGAGUGAAAUAUGACUAGAUGUCAUGUGUAUGGGUGAGUAUACCAUCUAGAACCGCAAUUGGAAUUUUAAAAGCCUAAGUAUUGUAUCCUUGUUAGAAGAUACAAAGACAAACACUCAUACGGACUUUGGCUACACCAUCAAAGCUUUGAGAAGCAAGAAGAAGCUUGGUUAGUGUUUUCGAGUGGAAUAUGACUUGAUGUGAUGUGUAUGAUUGAGUAUAAGAAAUUAAACUGCAACCGGAUCUUAAAAGCCUAAGUAGUGUUUCCUUGUUAGAAGAUACAAAGGCAAAGCCUCA